rnacentral:rRNA from 1 species
UACAGAGGUCUCAAGCGUUGUUCGGAUUCAUUGGGCGUAAAGGGUGCGUAGGCGGCGCGGUAAGUCGGGUGUGAAAUCUCGGGGCUUAACUCCGAAACUGCAUUCGAUACUGCUGUGCUUGAGGACUGGAGAGGAGACUGGAAUUUACGGUGUAGCGGUGAAAUGCGUAGAUAUCGUAAGGAAGACCAGUGGCGAAGGCGGGUCUCUGGACAGUUCCUGACGCUGAGGCACGAAGGUCAGGGGAGCAAACAGG